GGUGUCCCACAUGUUCUCUGUGUUCACACUGAGGUGUCCCACACGUUCCCUGUGUUCACACCAGGGUGUCCUGCACAUUCUCCAUGUUCACCCCGGGGUGUCCUGCAUGUUCUCCAUGUUCCCACCCGAGUGUCCCGCAUGUUCCCCAUGUUCACCCCGGGGUGUCCCGCACGUUCUCCAUGUUGUAACGACCUCUGGAGCACCAGCAUCAUUUCCAGCCGCCGCAGCGAUGCUGCCGCCGUCAGGACGCUCCCUCCUGCUCCUGCUCCUCCUCCUCCUCGCCGUGUGUCCUGCCGUGUGUCCGUCCUGCGCCAGCGCAGACUGUCCGGCUGCGUCCCCGUCCCCCUGGCCCCUGUUGCCGCGGCUGCUCCGGUGUCCCCGUGCCCAGGUCCAUCCCGGUGUGACCACAGGGGGGUCGCCCGACAGGACUCGAUCGAGCGCUCCACAGGUCCGGGCAGGCCGGGCUGGAGCGGGGACACACACCCGCUGUCCCCACACGGCCAUGGACAUCCCGGCCCGCGGAGCCGAAGGCGCCAGAGCCACCACUCACCGGCACAACCCCAGCGCCACAACCGCGGGGACGGGAGACGCCCAGCGGCACCAACGGGUCACCGAAUGUGGACACGACGUGGCAUUAAGAUGCAGCCGCAUCACACGUCACCGCGUCCCCUGCUCCGGGCCGGACCCGAGCAGAGGGCUCAGCGCCACAACUCGGUCGCAAAGCUGUUUUGGUGCCUCACCUCCGAGUUGGGGACAGCGGGGACGUCACCUCUGAGCCAGAGCUCCAGAUGCCAGGAACCGCAUUUUGGACAAGGUGCCGGUACCGGGUUGGCCCCGGGUGACGUCCCGUCUCGAUGGCCCCGGGCUGGCCGAGCUCCGGGACGCUGCCACCGGCUCCUCCUCACGUCCAACCCGC